rnacentral:rRNA from 1 species
UGGGGAAUAUUGCACAAUGGGCGAAAGCCUGAUGCAGCAAUGCCGCGUGUGUGAAGAAGGCUCUAGGGUUGUAAAGCACUUUCAAUAAGGAAGAAAAGCAUGAGGUUAAUAACUUCAUGUAUUGACUUAACUUAUACAAGAAGCACCGGCUAAUUCCGUGCCAGCAGCCGCGGUAAUACGGAAGGUGCAAGCGUUAAUCGGAAUUACUGGGCGUAAAGCGCGCGUAGGCUGUUAUCUAAGUCGAAUGUGAAAUCCUCGGGCUCAACCUGGGAACUGCAUCCGAAACUGGAUAACUAGAGUAUGGGAGAGGUAAGUAGAAUUUCCGGUGUAGCGGUGAAAUGCGUAGAUAUCGGAAGGAAUACCAGUGGCGAAGGCGGCUUACUGGACCAAUACUGACGCUAAGGUGCGAAAGCGUGGGGAGCGAACAGG